GACGAACGCUGGCGGCGUGCUUAACACAUGCAAGUCGAACGAUGAACCACUUCGGUGGGGAUUAGUGGCGAACGGGUGAGUAACACGUGGGCAAUCUGCCCUUCACUCUGGGACAAGCCCUGGAAACGGGGUCUAAUACCGGAUAUCACUUUCGCAGGCAUCUGUGAGGGUUGAAAGCUCCGGCGGUGAAGGAUGAGCCCGCGGCCUAUCAGCUUGUUGGUGAGGUAAUGGCUCACCAAGGCGACGACGGGUAGCCGGCCUGAGAGGGCGACCGGCCACACUGGGACUGAGACACGGCCCAGACUCCUACGGGAGGCAGCAGUGGGGAAUAUUGCACAAUGGGCGAAAGCCUGAUGCAGCGACGCCGCGUGAGGGAUGACGGCCUUCGGGUUGUAAACCUCUUUCAGCAGGGAAGAAGCGAAAGUGACGGUACCUGCAGAAGAAGCGCCGGCUAACUACGUGCCAGCAGCCGCGGUAAUACGUAGGGCGCAAGCGUUGUCCGGAAUUAUUGGGCGUAAAGAGCUCGUAGGCGGCUUGUCACGUCGGGUGUGAAAGCCCGGGGCUUAACCCCGGGUCUGCAUUCGAUACGGGCUAGC
rnacentral:rRNA from 1 species